rnacentral:rRNA from 1 species
AGGGUUUGAUCCUGGCUCAGGAUGAACGCUGGCGGCGUGCCUAAUACAUGCAAGUCGAACGAGGUGCUUUUGUAGCAAUACGAGAGUAUCCUAGUGGCGAACGGGUGAGUAACGCGUUGGUGACCUACCCCAAAGUGUGGGAUAACAGUCCGAAAGGAUUGCUAAUACCGCAUGUGGUCUUCGGAUUUAGAAACUGAUGACUAAAGGAGCAAUUCGCUUUGGGAGGGACCUGCGUCCCAUCAGCUAGUUGGUGAGGUAACGGCUCACCAAGGCGACGACGGGUAGGGGACCUGAGAGGGUGGCCCCCCACAAUGGAACUGAAACACGGUCCAUACACCUACGGGUGGCAGCAGUAGGGAAUAUUGCACAAUGGGCGAAAGCCUGAUGCAGCAACGCCGCGUGUGCGAUGAAGGCCUUCGGGUCGUAAAGCACUUUUCUGAGAGAUGAGAAAGGACAGUAUCUCAGGAAUAAGUCUCGGCUAACUACGUGCCAGCAGCCGCGGUAAAACGUAGGAGGCGAGCGUUAUCCGGAUUCACUGGGCGUAAAGCGCGUGCAGGUGGCUCGGUAAGUUGGGCGUGAAAUCUCCCGGCUCAACUGGGAGAGGUCGUUCAAUACUACCGAGCUUGAGAGCAGAAGAGGAAGAUGGAAUUCCCGGUGUAGUGGUGAAAUGCGUAGAUAUCGGGCGGAACACCAGUGGCGAAGGCGAUCUUCUGGUCUGUUUCUGACACUCAGACGCGACAGCUAGGGUAGUAAACGGGAUUAGAGACCCCGGUAAUCCUAGCCGUAAACGAUGUGAACUUGGCGUUGGUGGGUUAAACUCCAUCAGUGCCGAAGCAAACGCGAUAAGUUCACCGCCUGGGGACUACGGCCG